rnacentral:lncRNA from 1 species
UACAUUCUUAGUACCAAGAAUCUGUAAACACAGCCGAGAAAACGGAAUCAAAAUGGAGAUGUCCAGGCAGAGAUGGGUUCUUGAAGGAAUAAUGCUGAGCAUGAACCGAAGAUCAGGAAGAGGAAACCCAGGCUCAGUGGGGUAGAGGAAGUGGGAAGGUGGGAGUGGCAUGAAGACACCAACUAAAGACCUGCCUUGUUCUGGGCUGCUUUCCAGAGAUUCUCCACAUCAGUUCUUUUCAUUUAUUUUAGCUGGGUAGCUCUUAGCUGCACACGGGCCCAGCAGUUGUUAUGUACAGGCUUUGUUGCCCCAUGCGGCAUGUAGGAUCUUAGUUCCCCGACCAGGGAUUGAACCUGAGUCCCCUGCGUUGGCAGGCAGAUUAUUAACCACUGGACCCCACAAGGAAGUCCCUCCCUGUCGGUUCUUAUUUCUUGAUGUUUUAAAAGGAAUAUCGGGUGCCCCAGAGUUAGAAAUGCUUUGUUAAAAGGCCACAGAUGGACAGUUGAUUGGAUUUUUAGUUAAGAUAAAGAGUCAGGCACGACUUAGGCACUAAACAGCAACAAAUUCAAGACAGAAAGCUCCUCUUAGAGGUUUUGUAGUGACCACUUUCACAGACAUAUCCCUUACUGAAAAGUGGAGGGCGUGUUUCUUCCACAAAAUAGCUCUUGCUAUUCAUUCUAGAGUUCUGAAAAUAUUACCCAGACUCCACAUAAAAUGCCACUGACCAUUGCCUAUUAAUUGUGAUAAUGGUGAUCCUCUCUCUUGGAAUAAGUGUAAACUUCAAGUUGAAGUUUGCACAUGGUCCUCUCUGGUAAUGAGUUUGACUGAUGCUGACGUUGGCUUGUUUCAGGGUCGGUUUCAUUGCAAGACCAAGAGACUUUCCUUACUUCCAACUAGAUGUGAAACAGAAGAACCAAUUUGAAUCCUACUUUCAACAUGAUCCAGCCAUCUUCCCGUCACUCCCCUGCUCAAGGCUGUACAACAGACAUCACACUCGUGAAAUGCCAGCAGCGUGCGAUGCAUUGUUCUCG